CCUAAUUUCUGUGCUAGCAACACUUCACAAUUCUCAUUCUUGUGCCUGAAGUGGCCUUAACUUCAGCCCUGUUCCAGGUGUGGAUAUGGAAUUCAGACUGACCAAUCAGAUCACUGCCACACUGUUUGGAUCAAGGAUAAGCACUUGAUCUGCUUCAGGCAGAUCAGGAGACAAGAAGAUUAGAUUCCCAGGUUUUUCAUUGGAAACUUUUGAGGAAGGGGCACUUUUUUUCAGCUGGAAUUGCUCAGCGUGGGCUAUGAGUCUAGAGCUAUCCACAGCCAUCUGCCCACCCUAAGUGGAGAACCUACCAGCAAUAGAAACAACACAAAGGGAAGCAGAGCUGAGAGAUGGAAAGACUCCUAAGAAGGCCCAAAGACAGAAUUUAAACAGCAGAGCCAAUUAGGACCAAACUUUUCAGGUAUGCUUGAUUUGGAUAACCAGCUCAACCUUCGUUCCCUUGGUACAGACCUGGAAAUCUCAUACAAUGCUUUGGUCAUCCUGCCUAUAUGCCCAACUGUGAUGGUUAAUUUUAUACGUCAACUUGACUGGGCCAAGGGGUGCUCAGAUAGUUGGUUAAACAUUGCUGGGUGUGUCUGUGAGGGUGUUUCUGGAAAAGAUUAUCAUUUGAAUUGGUGGACUGAGCAAAGCAGAUGGCCUUCCCCAGUGAGGAUGGGCAUCAUCCAAUCUGUUAAGGACCUGAAUAGAAGAAAAAGGUGGAGGAAGGUUGAAUUAACCCUGUCUGACUGGUGAGCUGGGACAUAAAUCUUCUCCUGCUCUUGGUGCUCCUGGUCUCAGGACUGUAGACCUGGACUGGAAUGUAUACCAUCGUGUCUCUGGCUUUGAACUAUACCUCCAGCUUUCCUGGGUCUCCAGCUUGCAGACAGCAGAUUUUGGGACUUUUCAGCUUCAUCAUCAGCCCUGCAACUUUCCCCCUGCUUCCUGCCUCUGUGUGCUGGCUCAAGCUGUGAGGUGAUUUCAUGGAUCUGGGCAGAACCUGAGACUUAGAGGAUAAGUAAUUCAUUUGAGUAUUCGAAUUACCUCUUUAUACAUAGAUUUUCUCCAUUGUACGACUUCCCAAGACGGAUGACUCUCUGUCUUUUCAUCAGUGUGUUCCCAAACUCUGGAAUCCAGCUUGUAGUAGGCAAUCAAUAAAUAUUCAUAGGGACAGAUAUGCUUACUUAAGUGAAAAUGUAUUUAAUUUGGCCAUUCAUUCCUCUUUCUUUUCAGAAUAAUAUCCCAAACUUCUUUUGGGGAAAUUAUCUCUCUUUAACGUGCAUGGAGACUUCAAACCAAAGUAAUCUGCCCACUCCUUGGCAAAUGGUAGACACCUGACUCAAGUCGGGUAAAUGAGUGUCUGUCUCUCUGUCUCUGUCUCUAUGCCUCUGUCUCUUUCAGUGUCUCUCUCUCAGGAUUUCGGUCUGGAGAAGAGGGACAAAGAUGGGUUUGGAAUGGUUGGAGCACAUCCAUAUGAGUGGAGAAUUCCAAGUACAUCUGUCUCAAUUUGUUAAUUUGAUGAGUUACAGCAGCUUACAUUUUCAAUGUUAAACCAGCCUUGAAUGUGGAGACAAAAUCAAAUUGGCUAUCAUGCAUUCCUCGCUUUAUAUACUGUUGGAUCCUAUUUGCUAAAAUGUUGCCUAAAGUUUUUGCAUCUACUUUGAUGAGGAAUAGUGGUCUGAAGUUUUCUUUUUUAAUAUAAUGUAUUUGUUGAUUUUGGUUUCAGAAUAAUGUUAACAUCAAAUGAAUUGAAAAGUAUUUCUUCCUUUUCAAUUAUUUGGCAGAAUUUAUAUAAAAUUGGUAUUUUACUUCUGUAAAUGUUUGGAAGAAUUUUCCAGUGAAGGCAUCUGGGCC
rnacentral:lncRNA from 1 species